rnacentral:rRNA from 1 species
CCUACGGGUGGCAGCAGUGGGGAAUAUUGGACUAUGGGCGAAAGCCUGAUCCAGCCAUGCCGCGUGUGUGAAGAAGGCCUUCGGGUUGUAAAGCACUUUCAGUGGGGAAGAAAGCCUUGGGGCGAAUACCCUCGAGGAAGGACAUCACCCACAGAAGAAGCACCGGCUAACUCCGUGCCAGCAGCCGCGGUAAUACGGAGGGUGCGAGCGUUAAUCGGAAUUACUGGGCGUAAAGCGCGCGUAGGCGGUCUGAUAAGCCGGUUGUGAAAGCCCCGGGCUCAACCUGGGAACGGCAUCCGGAACUGUCAGGCUAGAGUGCAGGAGAGGAAGGUAGAAUUCCCGGUGUAGCGGUGAAAUGCGUAGAGAUCGGGAGGAAUACCAGUGGCGAAGGCGGCCUUCUGGACUGACACUGACGCUGAGGUGCGAAAGCGUGGGUAGCAAACAGGAUUAGAUACCCCGGUAGUC